rnacentral:rRNA from 1 species
GAUGAACGCUGACAGAAUGCUUAACACAUGCAAGUCAUUGGCGAAGCUGCGCUUGCGCAGUCUAGCCAAGGCGGACGGGUGAGUAACGCGUAAGGAACUUGCCCUGCAGACAGGGAUAACAGACGGAAACGACUGAUAACACCUGGUAUUGUCAGGCUGGCGCAUGCCGGCCUGAUGAAAGGAGACGCUGCAGGAGAGCCUUGCGUCCUAUUAGCUAGUUGGUGGGGUAACGGCCCACCAAGGCGAUGAUAGGUAGCCGGCCUGAGAGGGUGAACGGCCACAAGGGGACUGAGAUACGGCCCUGACUCCUACGGGAGGCAGCAGUGGGGAAUAGUGGACAAUGGGGGCAACCCUGAUCCAGCAAUUCUGUGUGCACGAAGAAGGUUUUCGGAUUGUAAAGUGCUUUCAGCAGGGAAGAAGAAAGUGACGGUACCUGCAGAAGAAGCGACGGCUAAAUACGUG